rnacentral:rRNA from 1 species
GACGAACGCUGGCGGCGUGCUUAACACAUGCAAGUCGUACGGUAAGGCCCUUUCGGGGGUACACGAGUGGCGAACGGGUGAGUAACACGUGAGUAACCUGCCCACAACUUUGGGAUAACGCUAGGAAACUGGUGCUAAUACUGGAUAUGUGCUCCUGCUGCAUGGUUGGGGUUGGAAAGCUCCGGCGGUUGUGGAUGGACUCGCGGCCUAUCAGCUUGUUGGUGGGGUAGUGGCCUACCAAGGCGGCGACGGGUAGCCGGCCUGAGAGGGUGACCGGCCACAUUGGGACUGAGAUACGGCCCAGACUCCUACGGGAGGCAGCAGUGGGGAAUAUUGCACAAUGGGCGCAAGCCUGAUGCAGCAACGCCGCGUGCGGGAUGACGGCCUUCGGGUUGUAAACCGCUUUCAGCAGGGACGAAGCUUUUUGUGACGGUACCUGCAGAAGAAGCACCGGCUAACUACGUG